AAUCUUUUCUCAAGAGUCACACAGCUGGAUGGAAAACAUGAAAACGGAUUAACUCUUCAGUUCUCGUUUAUACACAACAGCAGAACACACAAAAAUGCUAAGAAGGGUCAUCUGCUCCACAUCAGCUGUGUAACGUUCCACUUCCUCUCACUACCUCUGACUCCGCCCCUUCCGGCUCGUGCCACUGCAGAGUGAAGCUCCAUCUCAUGCAGGCUCUGACCAUCACAAGAAUAUUGAAGCUACAGUUCUGCAUUUGACCCCGAAGAUUACAGUUUGAAUGGGACUUUUUUUGCAAGGGAAAGGGUGAGGAUUCUUUCGUUUUACAGCACACAUAAGGAAAUAUGGGGGGUUUUUUACAUUCAACAUUUAUGCUUUUGUGUUGUUCCAUGAAAGUUCUACAUAUAAUUAAAUCCAAGUAAAAAAAAAAAUGUAUGCAUUAGUUUGCUUGCA